rnacentral:rRNA from 1 species
ACAAUUAGUGUUUUACGACCACGACUGCCACUGGCAGUAUAUUGAAGGGCCGCGGUAUUAUGACCGUGCAAAGGUAGCAUAAUCAUUAGUCUUUUAAUUGAGGGCUGGAAUGAAUGGUUUGACGAAGUAAAAACUGUCUUAUUAUAAUAAUUAGAAGUUAACUUUUAAGUGAAAAGGCUUAAAUAUAUAUAGAGGACGAGAAGACCCUAUAGAGUUUUAUAUAUUUAUGUAAUUAUUUAUUAAGUUGGUUAUAAAUAAUUAUUUAAUAUAUAUUUUGUUGGGGUGACAUAAAGAUAUAAUAAACUCUUUAUUUUAUUUUACAUUGAUUUAUGGAUAAUUGAUCCAUUUUUAGUGAUCAAAAGGUUAAGUUACCUUAGGGAUAACAGCGUAAUUUUCUUUAAGAGUUCGUAUCAACAAGGAAGAUUGCGACCUCGAUGUUGGAUUAAGAAUAUAAUUAGAUGCAGCAGUUUAAUUUAUAGGUCUGUUCGACCUUUAAAUUCUUACGUGAUCUGAGUUUCAGACCGG